ACAGAAGUGAGAAUGCUGGCAUAAGUAGCGAAAAACAAGUGAGAAUCUUGUUGACCGAAUAUCUAAGGUUUCCUGGGGAAGGCUCGUCCUCCCAGGGUUAGUCGGGACCUAAGCCGAGGCCGAAAGGCGUAGGUGAUGGACAACUGGUUGAUAUUCCAGUACCACCAUAAUGCGUUUGACAAAUGGGAUGACGCAGGAGGAUAGGAUGUGCGCACUAUUGGAUGUGCGUCUAAGCACUUAGGGUGUUAAGUAGGCAAAUCCGCUUAACAUUAAGCCUGAGGGGUGAUGGGGAGCCUAUUUUGGCGAAGUAUCUGAUUCCACGCUGCCAAGAAAAGUCUCUAUGGAGCAAAAUGGUGCCCGUACCGCAAACCGACACAGGUAGAUGAGGAGAGAAUCCUAAGGUCGUCGGAAGAAUUAUUGCUAAGGAACUCGGCAAAUUGACCCCGUAACUUAGGGAGAAGGGGUGCCUACGAGAGUAGGCCGCAGUGAAUAGGCUCAAGCAACUGUUUAUCAAAAACACAGGUCUCUGCUAAAGCGUAAGCUGAUGUAUAGGGGCUGACGCCUGCCCGGUGCUGGAAGGUUAAGGGGAAUAGUUAGCGCAAGCGAAGCUAUGAACUUAAGCCCCAGUAAACGGCG
rnacentral:rRNA from 1 species